GGUUGAUCCUGCCGGAGGCCCACUGCUAUGGGAGUCCGACUAAGCCAUGCGAGUCCAGGGGGGCUUUGCCCACCGGCGGACGGCUCAGUAACACGUGGACAACCUGCCCUCGGGAGGGGGAUAACCCUGGGAAACUGGGGCUAAACCCCCAUAGGUCACGGGUGCUGGAAGGCCCUGUGGCUGAAAUUCCGCAAGGAGCCCGAGGAUGGGUCUGCGGCCUAUCAGGUUGUAGUGGGGGUAACGGCCCCACUAGCCUACGACGGGUACGGGCCUUGGGAGAGGGAGCCCGGAGAUGGACUCUGAGACACGAGUCCAGGCCCUACGGGGCGCAGCAGGCGCGAAACCUCCGCAAUGCGCGAAAGCGCGACGGGGGGACUCCCAGUGCCUACGCUCAGCGUAGGCUGUUCCCGAGCCUAAAAAGCUCGGGGAGUAAGGGCUGGGUAAGACGGGUGCCAUCUGUGACGGCAGUCAAAGAGUUGACUUGCCGUUGCAAGGCAUAAGCCGCCGCGGUAAUACCCGCAGCCCGAGUGGUGGCCGCUAUUAUUGGGCCUAAAGCGUCCGUAGCCGGCCCGGUAAAUGCCUGGGUAAAUCGUCUGGCCCAACCAGACGAAUUCCGGGUAGACUGCCGGGCUAGGGACCGGAGGAGGGAGAGGGUACUCCAGGGGUAGGGGUGAAAUCCUGUAAUCCCUGGAGGACCACCGGUGGCGAAGGCGCUCUCCUAGGACGGGUCCGACGGUGAGGGACGAAAGCCAGGGGAGCAAACCGGAUUAGAUACCCGGGUAGUCCUGGCCGUAAACGAUGCGGGCUUGGUAUUGGGAUGGCUACGAGCCGUUCCAGUGCCGUAGGGAAGCCGUUAGCCCGCCGCCUGGGGAGUACGGUCGCAAGGCUGAAACUUAAAGGAAUUGGCGGGGGAGCAC
rnacentral:rRNA from 1 species